rnacentral:rRNA from 1 species
AGCAGCCGCGGUAAUUCCAGCUCCAAUAGCGUAUAUUAAAGUUGUUGCAGUUAAAAAGCUCGUAGUUGAAUUUCGGGAUUAGUACGCUGGUCGUGCCUUCGGUAUGUACUGGUGUUACUGGUUCCUACCUUCUGACGAACCGUCAUGUCAUUAAUUUGGUGUGGCGGGGAAUCAGGACUGUUACUUUGAAAAAAUUAGAGUGUUUAAAGCAGGCUCGCGCUUGAAUACAUUAGCAUGGAAUAAUGAAAUAGGACGUUCGAUCCUAUUUUGUUGGUUUCUAGGAUUGACGUAAUGAUUAAUAGGGAUAGUUGGGGGCAUUAGUAUUCAAUUGUCAGAGGUGAAAUUCUUGGAUUUAUUGAAGACUAACUACUGCGAAAGCAUUUGCCAAGGAUGUUUUCAUUAAUCAAGAACGAAAGUUAGGGGAUCGAAGACGAUCAGAUACCGUCGUAGUCUUAACCAUAAACUAUGCCGACUAGGGAUCGGAUGAUGUUAUUUUUAAUGACUCAUUCGGCGCCUUACG